AUCGCUUCUCGGCCUUUUGGCUAAGAUCAAGUGUAUCUUAGUGCUCCGUUAAAAUUUUCAAAAUUUUUAGCCAAAUUCUUGUUUAUAAGGCCAUUGUUAUAUAUUUAAUUUUUUGUAAAAGUCUCGUGAACCUGUU